UUGGCUGAGACAAUCUUCGUCGUAAAAAACGCCUUCCGAUCAUUUGGAGGCACGCGAAUAACCUUCGAGUGUGCCGAAAAACGCUGUGAGCAUGCCUUUAUCUACGCUGCACUUUAGUGCAGUCGGCAGGGUUGGUCCGUUUUCAACGCUUGCAGGAGACUCGCAGAAUUGGACAGUCGUAUCCAGUGAAUAUUAAGAAGACGUCGAGAAGCUGGUCUCCGUGCUUGCUGUGUCUCUACACCACGGGUCUAAUGUUGAAUUCCAAUGGCAAAGCCCGAGCAGCCGACGGACUCUGCGAGCGAGCGCGCAACUCUGGAGUAGAGCAUAGCCUCCAGAUUCGUGAUGGGAACACAACACAUGCAACUGGAGCAAGGUGGAAAGGCAACGAUGGCCAGCAGUCCAGCUACUACAGAUUGUGUGAAGAAGCCACGUCGGCGGGCCUGCCACCUAUGUAACAUGUGUGACUAUAAAACUUAUCAUUCCGGUAGGCUGAAGACACAUAUAAUGGUUCACACUGGUGAACGGCCUUAUGAAUGCCACCUGUGCCCGCGGAGCUUCUCACAGUUUGUCUUGUUGAAGAAUCACCUGGUCACUCACACAUCCGAACGGCCAUUUCAGUGCCCUUUAUGCCUUCAGAAGUUCCGGCGCAAAGACAUCCUCAAGAGACACCACCAACGGCGGCAUGAAUGUCAUUGACCAUUUCAGAAGGAGUUCUCCUGUUGGAUCCUUUCUUUUGUUGUUGUAAGAGAACGAUUUACUGAUUUUCGGGAGCUCUGUAGCAUUGCCAAGCUUCGUAGGGCUGCAAAAAUCAUGAAUGGAAUAGUCCUUGCACUGCCUCAGUACUGCUGCUAGGGCAUCAAGAUGCAUGCAAUGAAACACUGUGACUAUGUUAGAUAUCCUUCUUUAUUGCCUCCUUUGCAGAGUUCUUGAUUGAUCAUUUAAACAGAAUGUGUGCAACGAGCAUAUGCUCUCCAAAAAAAGUUAGGUUCAUGAUGUUUAGCUGACACUCCUCUACAUAGUCAACUUCAAAUGUUUUGUAGGCCAAUAACUGUGGCAUGCUGCAAUUUGGUUCUGUGGAAUCUCACAAAGAGGUGGAAAGAGCAAGAAAGGGGAACUGACAACCACCUCUUUGUAGCGUGUAGCGUAAAGGCCAUACGGAUUUCUCAGAAAGAAAGCAUCUAUAUAUUGCCAAAGAAUUUAUUUCAUUCCUGGAUCGGGACACAAGGACAGGCACUGACUCUCAAGUGAACAUUUUAUUGAAGAAACGAAGCAUAUGUAGAUACAGGAAAGCAUUUAAAAAAAUUAGGUUACAAUUCUAAUCAUGUGUGCGACGUCAGAUAGUGGAUUUUCUUGUCUAACAGAUCAAGUGACAGAAUGCACGCACAUCGCUUGGCUCUCUGGCAGAUAGCAAAGGCCUCGUACAUCCCUCUUUGAUCCCUUUGACAAAACUUGACGAGGACUCAUUAAAAGCUCAUGCAGGCCUUUGAUGAGAAACUUGUAUGGAAUUCCUUUUGGCUUGGGUGCUACAUAUGGGUCGUUUUCAAUUUCUUAAGAUUUCUGCUUAUAUGAACUUUUCUUUGUAUUAAGAAACGUUGUAAUGAGCUUGAGAAAGGUUGUUGCAUAUUAUUUUUUCAAAUUGCUAGUAUGCUUGCUGUUGAAAGACCUCUUUCUCUAGAGUCAAAGAAAGACUUCAGUGCUUUCUUGUGUGUUAGCUUACAGGGACGCGUCGAUGUUUUCAAAGGACUGCAAGUUGAUGGCUGUGUGAUGUCCCCGCAAACGCGGACUGAACCCCAGCCAUUUUAAGAUGUUUUCGUUCAUUUCUUAAACCCACGUCGGAAUCCUAGAAAAGCGGCCACGGGUCAAGGAAGGGGGGGUGCGAAGAGUCAUUCCCUGGGCCAAAAGGAAGUAUGCUGCGACGACUAAAGUGACAAAUUGGACAUCGACGCCAAGAACCAACCUUGGGCCCCCACUCGAGCAGCCAACUCCGAGGCCCCGACUACAUGGACAUUCCGUGAGACGAACUUCACCUCCCUUACUUAGACGAGCUUUGCGGAAAGGGAUGCGGCAUAUUGAGACAUUGCGUGGUUUUAUUAAUUAAUGACUUUAUCAUUUGUGUCAUCGUGUGUUUGCUCUGUAUUGAGGCACCCUUGUGUUGUCACCGUUACUUUGCUUAUGUAUCCUGUGUAGCGUGUCGUGAGUAUUUACUGAUGUGUUACAAUUUUGUGUAACAGAGAUGUCGUACACAAGCAGUAUGCGUGUACGCCAUUUGCACUUGCUAUUGAAUUAAAUGCGUCCAUAAUUAAGAAAAGAUCAUAGCGUCUCUUACUUCCCGGCCCCAGCACGAAUCCCUGUAGGUGGAAAGUGAUUGAGA